AGUGAACGCUGGCGGUAGGCCUAACACAUGCAAGUCGAACGGCAGCACAGUAAGAGCUUGCUCUUACGGGUGGCGAGUGGCGGACGGGUGAGGAAUACAUCGGAAUCUACUUUUUCGUGGGGGAUAACGUAGGGAAACUUACGCUAAUACCUCAUACGACCUACGGGUGAAAGCAGGGGAUCUUCGGACCUUGCGCGAUUGAAUGAGCCGAUGUCGGAUUAGCUAGUUGGCGGGGUAAAGGCCCACCAAGGCGACGAUCCGUAGCUGGUCUGAGAGGAUGAUCAGCCACACGGGAACGGAGCCACGGUCCAGACUCCUACGGGAGGCAGCAGUGGGGAAUAUUGGACAAUGGGCGCAAGCCUGAUCCAGCCAUACCGCGUGGGUGAAGAAGGCCUUCGGGUUGUAAAGCCCUUUUGUUGGGAAAGAAAAGCAGCAGGUUAAUACCCCGCUGUUCUGACGGUACCCAAAGAAUAAGCACCGGCUAACUUCGUG
rnacentral:rRNA from 1 species